rnacentral:rRNA from 1 species
AACGAACGCUGGCGGCAUGCCUAACACAUGCAAGUCGAACGAUGCCUUCGGGCAUAGUGGCGCACGGGUGCGUAACGCGUGGGAAUCUGCCUUUCGGUUCGGAAUAACUCAGGGAAACUUGAGCUAAUACCGGAUAACGUCGCAAGACCAAAGAUUUAUCACCGAAAGAUGAGCCCGCGUAGGAUUAGCUAGUUGGUGAGGUAAAGGCUCACCAAGGCGACGAUCCUUAGCUGGUCUGAGAGGAUGAUCAGCCACACUGGGACUGAGACACGGCCUAGACUCCUACGGGAGGCAGCAGUGGGGAAUAUUGGACAAUGGGCGAAAGCCUGAUCCGGCAAUGCCGCGUGAGUGAUGAAGGCCUUAGGGUUGUAAAGCUCUUUUACCCGGGAAGAUAAUGACGGUACCGGGAGAAUAAGCCCCGGCUAACUCCGUG